rnacentral:rRNA from 1 species
GACGUAGGGGGCGAGCGUUGUCCGGAUUUAUUGGGCGUAAAGCGCGCGUAGGCGGCCGCGCAAGUCGGAUGUGAAAACCCGGGGCUCAACCCCGGGCGUGCAUUCGAUACUGCCGUGCUUGAGGACUGGAGAGGAGACUGGAAUUUACGGUGUAGCGGUGAAAUGCGUAGAUAUCGUAAGGAAGACCAGUGGCGAAGGCGGGUCUCUGGACAGUUCCUGACGCUGAGGCACGAAGGUCAGGGGAGCAAACGGG